rnacentral:rRNA from 1 species
AUACGCCUACGGGACGCAGCAGUGGGGAAUAUUGCACAAUGGGGGAAACCCUGAUGCAGCGACGCCGCGUGAGCGAUGAAGUAUUUCGGUAUGUAAAGCUCUAUCAGCAGGGAAGAAAAUGACGGUACCUGACUAAGAAGCCCCGGCUAACUACGUGCCAGCAGCCGCGGUAAUACGUAGGGGGCAAGCGUUAUCCGGAUUUACUGGGUGUAAAGGGUGCGUAGACGGUCCUGCAAGCCAGAUGUGAAAGCCCGGG